rnacentral:lncRNA from 1 species
UGUGCUUGUGGUGAAUCCUGGCUCUGCUCCCUUCUGUUUAUUGAGCAGCAAAUUUUCAGAGUCUCUAUAAUACAUAUGGAUUCUCGAAAAGUAUAGUGGAUUAAUAUCAACUUAGUCAUGUGGUGACUACAAUUGCAUCGGCUGUUUCAGGUGAGGUUUCCUACCACAAGAGAUCAAUAUUACUCCCAGCACUUGCAGGUAACUAUCAAUCUAGCACAACUUUUUUUCUUUUUCCUCUGCUCUAAAAAUUAAA